rnacentral:piRNA from 1 species
UGUGACCUUUGCCAUCCUGCACAGAUGGGA